GCGGGUGUCGCCCAUUGGUUGGGCACCGGGACGCCUUCCCGGAGAAGCGGGUUCGAUUCCCGCCUCCCGCU
rnacentral:tRNA from 1 species